CACCUGACUCCAUCCCGAACUCAGAAGUGAAACGAAACAGCGUCGAUGGUAGUGUGGGGUCUCCCCAUGUGAGAGUAGAACAUCGCCAGGC
rnacentral:rRNA from 1 species